GACUCUCAUUUUUGCUCCUCCCAUACUUUCCCCUCUCUCAUUAAGAGACUACUUGAGAUAGUUCUAGUUCUUCCGAUCAUACGUAUAUGACAUCCUAUGGCUGAGGCUGGAGAAGAUAAGGAAUAAGUUGAGGAGGCAAGGCAUAAAUGGACCCAAGCCUACUGUACUCUAUGGCAACACCCAGGAGAUGAAGAGAAUCCAACAUGAACAGCUACAUCUCCAUCAAAUUCCCUCAUUUCCUUCAUUGGAGGAAGACUUAUGUGAUAUCUGGUCCAUACCCUGUAUGUACAACUUUCCACGAACAAACCUAGAGAGGAAGACUAUGGUAUGUACAGAAUCCUUGUUUUUGCUGUUCUGUUUGGUUGCCUGGCUAACUCCUGGCCAGGCUCCCCAGAGCCAACCAGCGAACGUUCGGUUGCCUGUUCAAGCACUUCAGCCAGGCUCUACCAAUACAAGGAGGGGCAACCAAUACAAGGAGGGGCCUUUAGCCAGGCUCGCUGGGAACGUGGAGAUCGAGCGUUUCCACGGAGCCUAGCUCCGCUGAUGCAUCUUCUCGAGUUAGCUCACCUCCCGGGUCUCUCUCACGGCGCUCUCUCGAGUCGAGCUCGGCACGCGACCGCGGAGCUUGCCGGAGCCCGCCCGCGGCCCGCGAAGCCGCAGCUCGCUCGCCCGCCCGAGGCUGCCGCGAAGCUCCUUUGAAGCUCGCCCCCGGCGGCGGAGCACGCUCGGUGCGGCCAAGUUAUUGCAGCGGGGAGGAGCUUUUGCGGGCGCGUUCACGGCAGCUGAGUUCGCCCGCGCGCAGCCAGGGGAGCUCCGUCGGUGAUCUGCUCGGCGGCUCCCGCCAGCACGCGCCGGGGAGCUCGCCCGUGCGCGGCCGGGGGAGCUCCGCCGGCGGCCGGCUCGCGCGGCUCCCGCACGCGCGCGCCGCGCACCGGCAGCUCUGCUCCUGCCAGCGGUGCCUCACAUCUCCCUCGGCGUCAAGCUGGGCGUUCAGUACAGGUGGUUGCUGUGCUCGCGUGAUCUUGGCUGUUUGCUAAAGUAAUUAGCAUGUUGCCACUCGAUGGGCCUAUAUUCCUUUACUCAACAGGAGCUGUGGAGAUAUUGCAUGUUGCUCAGCCAGAAAUGGUGACAUGGGCCGCUGGACUCCAUCAGAGCUUCCGAAGCCACAUUAUCUUAUGAGAUCACGUAAGCCUGUCUUUGGAGAAGGUAUAUUGUCAGCAAAUGGCUUGGGCCUAUGAGAAGAAGAUCCUUGCACCAGAGUUCUUCAUGGAAAAAAUUAAGGGCUAAUUGUGGAUGCAACAGUUCCACUGUUACAAGCAUGGGAGAAUAUUCUUGAUGGCACAGGAAGUAGUAAGGAGAUCUAUGUUGAUGGAUACCUGAGGAACUUUUCAGCGGAUGUGAUUGCCAGAGCUUGUUUUGGGAGCAGUUUCACAAAAGGAUUUUGCAAGCUUAGGCAGCUCCAGAAGGCAAUUUCUCAACAGGAUACAUUCGUAGGAUUAUCUGCAUUGUGGUAUGGAAAUUUGAUUCAUUGAGAAACUUCUAAUGCUUGAAAGAGAACAGAUUGAAAAGUUGUCCUUGCUGUUUUUAUUUUGUUUGUGACUUCUAAUUUAUUUUGUUUGUGACUUCCUUUAUUAUUAAAGGUAUUUUAAGCCUGAUUUAACUUUU